CACGUAGGGCGCAAGCGUUGUCCGGAAUUAUUGGGCGUAAAGAGCUCGUAGGCGGUCUGUUGCGUCCGCUGUGAAACUCGGGGCUUAACCCCGAGCCUGCAGUGGAUACGGGCAGACUAGAGGUAGGUAGGGGAGAAUGGAAUUCCCGGUGUAGCGGUGAAAUGCGCAGAUAUCGGGAGGAACACCGGUGGCGAAGGCGGUUCUCU
rnacentral:rRNA from 1 species